GGAGCAUGCAGGUCAUGUGACCGCGUACCUUUUGUAUAAUGGGUCAGCGACUUAUUUUCAGUGGCGAGCUUAACCGUAUAGGGGAGGCGUAGCGAAAGCGAGUCUUAACUGGGCGACCAGUCGCUGGAAAUAGACCCGAAACCGGGCGAUCUAUCCAUGAGCAGGUUGAAGGUUGAGUAACAUCAACUGGAGGACCGAACCAGGAUCUGUUGAAAAAGAUUUGGAUGACUUGUGGAUCGGAGUGAAAGGCUAAUC
rnacentral:rRNA from 1 species